rnacentral:rRNA from 1 species
UACGAAGGGGGCUAGCGUUACUCGGAAUGACUGGGCGUAAAGGGCGCGUAGGCGGUUUGCUUAGUUAGGCGUGAAAUUCCUGGGCUCAACCUGGGGGCUGCGCUUAAUACAGGCAGACUAGAGUGUGAAAGAGGGUCGUGGAAUUUCCAGUGUAGAGGUGAAAUUCGUAGAUAUUGGAAAGAACACCGGUGGUGAAGGCGGUCUCCUGGGCCGAGGGCCGACGCUGAGGCGCGAGAGCGUGGGGAGCGAACCGG